UUUCAUUUGCUGUCCUUCAAUGAGGGUUUCGGGGGAUGGAAACUCUGACAGAGAGCGGAAGAAAUAGAGAGAGAGAGAGAGAGAGAGAGAGAUGCCGAUGGGAAGAAAGCGCAGGGGAGAGGUAUGGGUGAUGGAUUUCAAAAGUGGGAAAAUGGGUUUUGUCUUCUCGGUUUUCACUGAAUUCGGGGGUUGGCGUGUACAGUUUCAUUUGCUGUCCUUCAAUGAGGGUUUCAGGGGGAAGAAAGAACAAUUGUGGGUUAAAGUCUUCAUAUUUGAAAGUUGAAUCUCAGCCUUUGAAAGGCUUUGUGAACGUGUCUUCGCGUGUGCAGCAGCACUCUGCAGCGAGAACUUUUUUUGAUUUUUCAUUCGAAUCGAUUCUAUUUUUUACCCAGAAAAGUUAGCGGUUACUGGCUCGAAUCCUCCUCUUCUUCUUCAUCCAAACCUGUAGCCCCACCUUUGAUUAUUACCGACGGAAACACGACGGAUUAAGGCGCAGCACCAAUACUGUAACACUUAGGAGAAAAGAGGCCCAAACCCGCAAAGAUUCGUUCGAACACUUGCAGGAAGAAAUAACGAGGCUGUUGAAGUGUAGUACGAAGGUUUACUUUGAAGCCAAGGUUAAGAAAAAAGAGCGGAUUUUUGGAAGGAGGCUUCGAUUCAAUUAUUGGAAUAGAUAAUAUUUAUUGAAACUUCAAUGGGUCAAUAGAAGCUGGCUGCUUGCAAAGGCAAGAACAUCAGUAUAUAUGCAUUGGAAUUUGUUGCGCUAGGAUAUGAAGAAGUGGAAAUGUACCUGAUGGAAUGAGAGUUUUGCUGCUUAAGACAAAGAAUGCUGCUAUUUCAAAGCUGGAGGAGCCAUUGUUGAUUAAUCCUAGGAAAUAUGAGGCUCUGUGGUGCUGGGAAAUGCUUAAACUGCUUGCACAUUAUGCACUCCGGACCAGAAUGAGGCAAAUGUUCCAAAAGGUGUUGUAUUGCUUCCAGAAGGCUUUCAAUGAGGUUCUUCCACUUACAAAUUUGUUAUUCUUGGAAUUUGUAAUCCCGCAGCAACGCGCGGGCAUUACUAGCUAGUUUAUACUAAAGAGUGAGAAUAACUUGGUAUAAAACUCAACUUCGUAAAAUUUAAAUUUAAAUAAAGAGAAAUAGUAUUAAACUGUA